UAAAGUGGAGGCAAAGGCUUUGUCUGUCAUCUAACUGUUUCUCCAGGACAGCUGAGCCCGGUAAAUCCAGCCCACCCACCCUUCUGAGCCUUCCGAGGACCACGACUUUCAACCAAUUCCGGCCUUUUUUUGAAAACGAAUUUCCAGCUCGGGCCCAUCAGUACAAAUAACUAGUGUCCACCUCCCAGCCGGGAGAGAGCCCAAUCCAGGCUAAACCUGGCGGGGAGAAAAGUUCACCGGCUUGGAGCUCACUUUCAUUAAUGAUUCAUCUACCAAGCCCUCGCUGGAGGACAAUUAACCCCGGGUAAGAAAUUAAAGCACGAAGAUGAUUGCCAGAGCCUCUGACUGUAUCAUAUUAACAUUGGAUGUAUAUUAAAAAAGUCUUCUCUAA